GGGCUUGUGGUCUAGAGGCUAUGACAUUUCCUUGACGUGGAGAAGGUCGUAGGUUCAAAUCCUACCAAGCCCA
rnacentral:tRNA from 1 species